rnacentral:tRNA from 1 species
GCCAGUGUGGUUUUGUGGUUUGAGCAUUGGGCUAUGACUCUGGGAGACCAGGGUUCAAAUCCCUGCUUGGAUA